CGGGCAUGGUGACCUGUGAUUGACUGGCAUGUAAUCCUGGGUGUAUUCCCGUCUCACACCCAGUGUUCCUGAGAUUCACCGGCUCCAGAUUCACCACGAAUUCCGUUCUCCGGCUCUAUUGCAACCCUGACCAGGAUAAAGCACUUAAUUAAGAUGGAUGAUGAUGAUUAUGAUGAUGAGGUGAAGUGGAAAGUGCAGAGAGCUUUGAAUCUGAGCUUUCUUCAGAUGUAGCUGUAAGACAUGCUCACCAGCCUCACCACAGGUAAAGGUCUUCUGUUU
ensembl:lncRNA